CACGUAGGGCGCAAGCGUUGUCCGGAAUUAUUGGGCGUAAAGAGCUCGUAGGCGGUCUGUUGCGUCUGCUGUGAAAACCCGGGGCUUAACCCCUGGCUUGCAGUGGAUACGGACAGACUAGAGGUAGGUAGGGGAGAAUGGAAUUCCCGGUGUAGCGGUGAAAUGCGCAGAUAUCGGGAGGAACACCGGUGGCGAAGGCGGGUAGCUGGGCCGACACUGACGCUGAGGCGCGAAAGCCAGGGGAGCGAACGGG
rnacentral:rRNA from 1 species